rnacentral:lncRNA from 1 species
CAGUGAACCAUCUAGACAGAGGAUGAAAUGCAGUAGUUCACCAACAUGUUAUGUUUCUAUGAACAACCAGAUGCAAACGUCCUGGCAUUCAUCCUGCCUGCUUGCUGUUUGUACCAUCUCCGUGGUAGCAACCAUCCAAGCUGCUGGAAGCACAGACUGAGCUCUAUGAGUCAAUUAUUUUAUAUACCUGGGAACGUGCUAGCCUUCCUGUCACUCUUUGAUGUCACUAUGUAGACAGUUUGCAGCCUAGGCAACAUGCCCCUAAAGCACUGGAAAUGGUUGGCCCUGAAGUGCUCCUAAGGUAACCGCAAGAUGAGGCAAAACAGGAUUGAGAUGAAAACCAAGCUCACCCACAUCCUACGUCAAUUAGCUAUUUUUUUUUCUGUGUAAACAA